AGCAGCCGCGGUAAUUCCAGCUCCAAUAGCGUAUAUUAAAGUUGUUGCAGUUAAAAAGCUCGUAGUUGAAUUUCGGGAUUAACGUAAUGGUCGUGCCUUAAGGGGUAUGAACUGUUACUGUUGAUUUCUCACCUUCUGGAGAAUCUUGAUGUCCUUAAUUGGGUGUCUUGUGGACCCAGGACCUUUACCUUGAAAAAAUUAGAGUGUUUAAAGCAGGCAUUUUGCUCGAAUACAUUAGCAUGGAGUAAUAGAAUAGGACGGCAUGGUUCUAUUUUGUUGGUUUCUAGGAUCACCGUAAUGAUUAAUAGGGAUAGGUUGGGGGCAUUAGUAUUCAAUUGUCAGAGGUGAAAUUCUUGGAUUUAUUGAAGACUAACUACUGCGAA
rnacentral:misc_RNA from 1 species